rnacentral:rRNA from 1 species
GACGAACGCUGGCGGCGUGCUUAACACAUGCAAGUCGAACGGAAAGGCCCCUUUGGGGGUACUCGAGUGGCGAACGGGUGAGUAACACGUGAGUAACCUGCCCUUGACUUCGGGAUAACUUCAGGAAACUGGGGCUAAUACCGGAUAGGAAUCCUUGCUGCAUGGUGGGGGUUGGAAAGCUUCGGCGGUUUUGGAUGGACUCGCGGCUUAUCAGCUUGUUGGUGGGGUAGUGGCUUACCAAGGCUUGGUGGGGAGCCGGACUGAGAGGGCGGGCGGCCAAAUUGGGACUGAGAUGCGGCCCAGACCCCUACGGGAGGCAGCAGUGGGGAAUAUUGAACAAUGGGCGGAAGCCUGAUGCAGCAACGCCGCGUGCGGGAUGACGGCCUUCGGGUUGUAAACCGCUUUCAGCAGGGGCGAAGCUUGUGGUGACGGUACCUGCAGAAGAAGCACCGGCUAACUACGUG